GGGGGGGGGGGCGGUCUUUUAGAGGAAAAGUACAGUGAGCAUUUAAAAAGCGAUGCCGGUGGUCUGAUGAAAGUCAGAAAUCAGAAAGCCAAAAGAGAAGAUGACGACCCUCGCUGCUGCAUUCAUGUGCCUCGCUGUACUGCUGCGGUCCGCUUCCCCUGGGCAAGAAUUUGAAAGUGUGCAUACAUGUUGUUUGACAACAACAAAUACAAUAAUCCGUGUGGGCCUGGUUGAUCACUAUCGCGUAGAGAAGAAAGGAUUGUGUCCCGUGGAUGCAGUGGUCUUUUUCACCGUUAGAGGACUCUCAAUCUGCUCCAAUCCCUCACACCCCUGGACACAAAGAGCCAUGGCAACUGUGGAUAGCAGGAGAAGGACAACCCCAACCACGAGCACCGCAUCACCCAACGCGUCACUGCUGAGCACCACCGACAAAACUAUGCGAUAACUUUUCCUGUGCAUAAUAAUAAUAAUUACCCACAUAAUAAUCUAAAACAUUAAUCUCAUAAUUACCUACAGAUAAUGUUCUAAAAUUCUGGAAUAUAAUAACCACUUACUCCGCUAAUAUCAUUUUCAACCCCCUCCCAUUUUAUUCCCUUCCAAAUUUUUAAUCGCCAGUUUCCACUUCUAUCAACUGCUUCCAAGCAGCAGUUGAUAUGUGUAAACUCCUCCAAUGCACUUGUCCACAUGCCAAAAACCUACAGCAGAAACUAAGAUACAAAUGCAUCAGGAUUGGAGGUCAUUUAGAACUCCAAAAUGUUCCUGAGUUUGAAGGUGACACCAACAUAAACGUAUUAAAGAAAUUAAACCCUUUGUUGAUUUGAAUUGUUACUUACAUUGCUGUUGUCAGAUUUUUAAAUAAAUAUCUUACUCUUA